rnacentral:RNase_P_RNA from 1 species
CGAGUUCGCCAGACGGCCGCGGUUGUCGAAGACAGCCGAGGAAAGUCCGGACUCCACAGGACAGGGAGCUGGGUAACACCCAGGCGGGGCGACCCGACGGAAAGUGCCGCAGAGACCAGACCGCCGAUGGAGGGAAGACAGGUGUGUCCUACACCCGUCCUCCCGCACAGGCAAGGGUGAAACGGUGGUGUAAGAGACCACCAGCGCCCCGGGUGACCGGGGCGGCUGGUAAACCCCUCCUGGAGCAAGGUCAAGUAGAGGCGCCGGUGGUCCGCCGACCAAGCCUCGGGUAGACCGCACCGAGGCCUGACGGUAACGCAGGCCCCAGAUGGAUGGCCGUCGCCCGUAGAGGGCACAGAAUCCGGCUUACCGGCGGACUCGCCCU